UACGAAGGGGGCUAGCGUUGCUCGGAAUCACUGGGCGUAAAGCGCACGUAGGCGGAUUGCUAAGUCAGGGGUGAAAUCCUGGAGCUCAACUCCAGAACUGCCUUUGAUACUGGCGAUCUUGAGUCCGGAAGAGGUAAGUGGAACUGCGAAGUGUAGAGGUGAAAUUCGUAGAUAUUCGCAAGAACACCAGUGGCGAAGGCGGCUUACUGGUCCGGAACUGACGCUGAGGUGGCGAA
rnacentral:rRNA from 1 species